ACUUAACCACUGCGCCACCAGGCCGGCCCACAGUACAGUAUUAACUAUAGUCACCAUGCGGUGCAGUAUAUCCCCAGGACAUAUUUAUCUUAUAAUUGGACGUUUGUACCUUUUGUCUACCUUCACUCACCUCGCCCACCCCCAACCAUUGUAUUUUAAUGUGGGACAAAAGGAAACUUGCCCGGCAGGGAGGGGCUAUAAAGCCUGAGGGUCACUCUCCCGCCCGAACUCCGUGGGUCGUUAGGUCUUCUGGGAAGGCACCUCCCCUCGCUCUCCAAGAUGGGGAGGGCCAAGAGCACCCCGGUACUCCUGGUAGUGGGAGUGGGGCGUUGUGCGCUAUGAGCUGUCAGCAAAGUCGGGCCUUACUGGUCGCUAGCAGUCGUGUACUCUUAUAAAUUUAAAGUGGCUUGCUGGCUCAAAGGCUGAACGACUUUUUAAAAAGUAGUGUCCUGCGCGCGCCGCCUCCUGGGGAGACGCUGGGGAGCCGCCCUCUCCGCGCCUCCAGGGCCGGGGCCCAAGAAGUGACCCUGCGCAGUGGUGGCCAAAGGUAUCCUGAGGAGUCCAGCUCAUUAGGCCCGCAGCCUGGCAGGGAUGCGCGCAGAGGCCCUGGAGGCGGACGGACCCGGGUGACAACAGCGCGAUCGCCUGUGCCGCGCGGGUUCCGGGGCGCAAGCCGCUCAGGUGCUGCGCGGGCGUUGCGUCCACCACCGGCUCAGACGGAACAAGCGCACUCCGGGAAAUGGCGACGCGAGGGGAGCCACGAGCUGCGGGCGCUUGUUCAACAAAUUGCGAGGCCGUGCGUUCCUCCCGGAGGAGUCAUAAGUCGAUACCUUGAGCCCCGAGUUUGGCGAAAGCAAACGGUUCUUCCCGGAGCACCCUUGAACAUAAGUCACAUGAACAUGCGUCAGUGUUCUUCAGGAGAAAUACCUAGAGGUCACUGCAAAUUGUCCUUCAAUGUCCACUUCCAGGACAAGGCACAAGCUACUUGCCUGCCUACAUUGUGUCACUGACAGAAAAUAUCAAACUUUUAAAGUUUCAGCCAAUCUGACAGGGGAGAAAUGGGUUCUUAUUGUUAUGAUUUGCAUUUCCCAGUCUCUGCAGAGACGAAUACCUUUCUGUAUGGAUAACUAUUUUUGUGUUGGUGGCAGCCAGCAUCCAAGAUGCCCCUAUCCCGUGGUCUGCUGCUCACACCCACACUGUACCAGGAUCGGUCUGUGUGACCAACAGCUUAGGGCAACGGGGUGGUGUAUUUCUUCCAGGACUAGGUUAUAAGAGGCUGUGGCUUUGCUUUUGCGGCUCUCUCCCUGUCUCAUCACUUGCUCUGGGGAAGCCAAUUUCAACAUCAUGAGGGAGGGCCUUGUGGCCAGGAACUGAAGCCUCCAGCCAGCGGCCGAGGACCAGCUUGGCGUGAGUCUUCUAGACCCGGGCAAGCCUCAUGACUGCAGCUCCUGCCCGUGGUUCAGAUGCAGCCCCCGAGAGACCCUGAGCCAGAACCACCCGCUAAGCCGCUCCCACGUUCCUGAUCCUCGGACACUCAGAUAACAGGUGUCUGUUGUUUGAAGCCUCUUGUUAUACAUAUGGCAACAGAUAGUGAAUACGUUGUCUUCUUAUCUGCUUGUUAGUUUUUAGGAGCUUUGUACACCUUUUGGAUAUUAAUAAUUUCUUAUAUAAAAUGAGAAUUUUUCACAAAUGUA